rnacentral:tRNA from 1 species
GCAGUCGCGGCCGAGUGGUUAAGGCGAUGGCCUAGAAAUCCAUUGGGGUCUCCCCGCGCAGGUUCGAAUCCUCUCGACUGCG